rnacentral:piRNA from 1 species
UGAUUCAGGCUUCUCAAGGAGGUGGUGUC